CUCGUAGGUGGCCAACUAAGUCAGACGUGAAAUCCCUCGGCUUAACCGGGGAACUGCGUCUGAUACUGGAUGGCUUGAGGUUGGGAGAGGGAUGCGGAAUUCCAGGUGUAGCGGUGAAAUGCGUAGAUAUCUGGAGGAACACCGGUGGCGAAGGCGGCAUCCUGGACCAAUUCCGACACUGAGGAGCGAAAGCCAGGGGAGCAAACG
rnacentral:rRNA from 1 species